rnacentral:rRNA from 1 species
GAUGAACGCUGGCGGCGUGCCUAAUACAUGCAAGUCGAGCGAACAGACGAUGAGCUUGCUCCUCUGACGUUAGCGGCGGACGGGUGAGUAACACGUGGAUAACCUACCUAUAAGACUGGGAUAACUUCGGGAAACCGGAGCUAAUACCGGAUAAUAUAUUGAACCGUAUGGUUCAAUAGUGAAAGACGGUGUUGCUGUCACUUAUAGAUGGAUCCGCGCCGCAUUAGCUAGUUGUUAAGGUAACGGCUUACCAAGGCAACUAUGCGUAGCCGAACUGUGAGGCUGAUAGCCCGCACUGGAGCGUGGACACGGUCCAGGCUACUACGGGAGGCAGCAGUAGGGUAUGUGACGCAGUAGGCGAGAACAUGACGGAGCAGGGGGGAGUGAGUGAUGGAGGUCUUCGGAUCGUAAAACUCUGUUAUUAGGGAAGAACCAAUGUGUAAGUAACUAUGCACGUCUUGACGGUACCUAGUCAGAAAGCAACGGCUAACUACGUG